UACGAAGGGGGCUAGCGUUGUUCGGAAUUACUGGGCGUAAAGCGCACGUAGGCGGAUAUUUAAGUCAGGGGUGAAAUCCCGGGGCUCAACCCCGGAACUGCCUUUGAUACUGGGUAUCUCGAGUCCGAGAGAGGUGAGUGGAAUUCCGAGUGUAGAGGUGAAAUUCGUAGAGAUCGGCAGGAACACCCAGGGGGAAGCCAGUCGACUGGGCAUCUACUGACGCUGAGGUGCGAGAGCGUGGGGAGCGAACCGG
rnacentral:rRNA from 1 species